GUGCAACAUGGUUAUGGGUACUACAGUGGAUGUGAGUGUGUAGACCUUGUACAAUAGAGCUUAUAGGCUAAUGAGAAGACAGGAAGAAACAACAGGAACACAUAUAGCUGGAAUGCAGAUGGGAUCUGUGCUACUUACGCUAGCCAUGGGAUGAUUAGAACAAGAUAAGAGACAUGAGGAAGACUUCUUCAAGGAGGUGCUCAAGCCAUGUUUUGGAAAAGAGAACUCAAGGUCUGGCAGGGAGAAAGGAGCAAGACUGCCUGGCAGCUCUUUAGAAAGUUGUGUGACGUAUGAACCAGUUCUUCCCUAUAUGAGAGUGUACCGUACAUCGCAGGCUGUCCAGCAUCGACCCCACUGAUGGAUGCUAGUAGUCCUCCCCGCCAGCACUCAACAUUGUGACAGUCAAAAACAUCCUCUCUACAUUUUCAAUGCCCCUGUUGGGGUAGCAGGACUCCCACUGAGAGACCCCAGUAGAGAUGGUCCCCAAGCAUGCUAACCAUGAAGCAGUGAUAUCGCACAGCACCUGCUUCCAGCAGCCCGGAGCCAAGGGGCAAAAUGGAAAGAGUCAGCAUUUCUCUUUUAGGGCAAGUAGAGCUGCAGCUGUCUGGCGCCACUGUAAUGCUGUCUCCUCCUCUGAGUGAGUUCAUCCUGGAAACAUUUUCUCCCAUAAGACAUGCACAGGUCUUACGUUUACAUGUUUCACUGAAAGAAAUUUGAUUCCACUGCUGGGAUGACAAGGAAGACUGAAGAAACCUAAUCCUAGGUGCUGCCACUGGGACAAACAAGAAGCACCAGACACAGUGCUGUUUUAGGGUGGGGCAGAAUUAUGCUGAGGGAAAAGUUAUUAUCACUCUUUAAGGCCAAGGAAACCACAAUUUUUAAAGAAGCUUCUAGAAAUUCUACCCAGUAGAAAAUAAAGAUAAACUUCUGUAAGGAAUUUCAUUCUUUUCAGAAUUCGCAAUCUGAAAUGUAGAAGCCCAUUCCUUCAUGGUUCUCAUAGAUAUUUAGUGUGACUGAGGGGUCAGUGGACUCAUAGCACUCAGGCCAGGCUUCUCCUGAGUCCCUUUCUUUGGCACAGAGGGAGUGAUUCACAGAUCCUCUACCCCCAAAGGCAUUGUUUCCUCAUCUCAACAAGAAUCCAGCACCCGUCAUUUUAUCAGCACACGUCACUAGCUUCUCAAGUGAGACUACUCUGAAGUGAUCUGUGUUUGAAGAAUGCCUUUCCCUUUCCCUUACGUAACUAAGAGGAUGAAAAAGGACACUCACUCCCUAUAUGAAAGCUGUGUAUUGUAAGCAGUCAUCUUGCCUGGCUGAGAACUCUAGGAUCUUUUUCUCUGCUCUCCUUUAGGCUGACACUCAUAGCCAGACCUUCUGUUUAUUAGCCCCCUGAAUCUAUUUGAAAAUAUUUUUGCUUUCAUUAUAAUAUAAGUCACAUUCUUCUUGCAUCUGCCGCUGCAUUUUCCAAAAGGGUUAUGUCAAGGGAAAUUCAACACUCACUUUUCUCAUUAUUUGCUUACCAGCUUGCUCACUCAUCAAAAUACCAGAGUUAUUUGAUACUUCAGAAGAUUAUUUCCCCCUUUAGAUGAUGUGUCAAGGGAAGGGGAGCUGGCCCCAGUAUCAGGUGACAGAAUUUUCUUCGCAUUUCUACUGUUGACUCAAUAAAUGCCCUUGGGCAAGUCAUGGAG
ensembl:lncRNA LINC02532 long intergenic non-protein coding RNA 2532